GAUACGGAGUUUUGCCUCUGCCUCCUCUGAUGGCCUGUUUUGAGAGUCACCAGGUGGUCUUUGCUUCCUUCUAAAUUCCUCAGCCUACUCAGCAUGAAACUAUGAGUAUAAAAACCUUUAUGAUGACCUACCUCCACUUGGAUCAAUGAAGAAACCAGAACUCAGGACCACUUCUAUCAAUAAAAGAAGCUGCUCAUCUGAAAGACAGCAGCACAUCCAUGUGCCAGGCAUGCUCUUCUUUCAGUCCAUAGUUAAGGUGUACAUAUAUGAACCUGUGUACUUGUGUUAUACUCACCAGAACUCCACAGCAUCACAAGCUGGGACAACAUCCUCACACUGUG